rnacentral:tRNA from 1 species
GCCCUCGUAGUAUAAACUAAUACACUGGCCUUGUAAACCAGAAAUGAACA